GCCGGCGGCCAUGGCGGGGUGGCAAUACCCGUUCCCGUUCCGAACACGGAAGUCAAGCACCCCUGCGCCGAUGAUACUCCCAUCCGGGGGAAAGUAGGCCGCCGCCGGCU
rnacentral:rRNA from 1 species